GAGAAGGAUUCGGGAGAGACAACUUAAUUGCGCCGAAGGGGCAUAAACUCUCAGGCAAAAGGACCGGAUUUGGACG
rfam:Clostridium sp. KLE 1755 genomic scaffold Scaffold208, whole genome shotgun sequence.